CUCCAGAGAGUCGGUGUGGCCACUGCCCAGGUCUGCACCAGCGGGGGCAGGGGGCUCGUUGGUGGAAACAGACUCGGCCGACAUCAGCCGGAGGUGGCUUGGAGGGUCCGGGAGCGCAGGUGCAGCCCUCGCGAGGCGGCUUGGCCAGGCCCCCCCAGGACGCUGCUCAGGCCCAGCUUGGGGCCGGGGAUCGCAGUCCACUGCAGGGCGCCAGCGUCCAGCUGGCCCAGCUGAGGCCACAGCCCGAGCGGGAGCAGGGCGAGGUGUCGACAGGGCUGGUCAUCGCUGCACCCCUAUCCCGCUGAAGGUCAGUGGGAGAAGGUAUUUGGAAUCAGAUCAGUUUGGUGCCUACAAGUCCCUCUGCCUGGUGAGGGGCCUCCCUGGCCCCUCAGCUCUCGGACUCCGGUGCAGGCUGCAACACGGUUACGUUGGGCAGGAAACAGAAAGCAUGAGACGCCCUGGGGCCGUCCCCUUUGGCGCAGGAAAACCACGGGACAGGAGAAGGCUGUCAGCUCCUAGUUCUUGAAAAAAUUCAGCAAGACAGAUUUAGGGAUGGAACAUUCCUGCAGACUAAUAUUUUAAAAACACAGCUUUGCCACGCUCCUGCCGGUCCCGUGGCUGGACGGCUGGACAGGGAGCCGCAGUGCAGACCAGACGUGGGCAGCCGCAAUGUGUGCUCACCGGCCCACGGACCACCGGCUCCGUCCCCAGAUUGCUCAGAGCACUAAUUAGCUGGACGCUGUGGUGACUCGCUUGGCCCCUGCUCUUCCUCACCCAGGGAAGGGGAUGGCACCACCCUCCUUUAGUCGCUCAGUCAACAUGCACACGGACGGCCACCGGGCCGACACGCACACGGGACGGCCACUGGGCACGAGGCCUGGUAUUAGUGCCGGCAGCAGACACGGCCCAUGGACCGAGUGCUGUGAUGGGGACGACAGAAUCAACAUGAAAUGCAAACACCGUGUGGCCAGGGAGAAAGACCAUGUGACAGGCACAUGGGCAAACCCUUCACCAAGCCGAGAGGCUGCAGAAGUCGCCACUGAGAUCAUAGAGGCCUGACUCCAACUGUCGUCGCAGACAGUGCUGCCAGACACAAGCAGACGCCUGGCGCUCGGCCGUGACCGCGUGCCCGACACCACGUGGGCCCCCGCCCCCGUGCCCAGCUUUCUGGGCCACCCGAGGGCCUUCCUGGCAAGCAAGCGCCAGGCGCCUCUCUGGUCUGCACACGCCCCGCACACGCUGCCGCACACGCUCCCCUCCCCGCUGGCCGGGUGGACUCGUACUCACUUGUACUGCGACUGGUCGUUGCCACCGACGUCCGGGGACGUUAGCUUCUGCAGUAAAAUUCUUAUAAUACUGAUGAAAAGGACAAAGUUCACCUGCAGGAGAAGAGACAACGUUUGUGUGUGACUCCCACGGCAAGGACGGGGCUGGUGUCUGUGGGCUGCUCGGAGCGGACAGCACCCGCCCCCGGGGACUGACCUUGGGCCGCGCAGCACCCUUGAAUUAACUUUAGAAGGCAACACAAACGGAGACCCAGUGUGCCCUGAAGUGCAGCCGACGCUGACCCCUCCCCCCCCCGCCCCCUCGCUGGGAGCUGCCUCCAGGCCCCACACGCCGAGAGGCCCCGUCCCUGGGAGACUUAAUAAAGGAAAACAGGCCGCUGCCUGCCCGCGGGAGCUGCCCGACAGACGGUGUGUGGUUCAGCACAGAAGCCACUUACGAUAAUGGAAAUUAGAAUCGGUAUCCGUAUAACCCACCAGGGAACCCUGUGCUCGUUCGUAUCCCAGCAACUGUCGGAGAGAGAAGUAAACCAGUCAGCGCGACGCACGUCCACCCAAGUCACCUGCGCACUCGCCACGUCCACGCCCCCCCCUGCACACAGGGGCGCCUCCCCAGGGCACACCUGUCCCGCUGUGUCUGCUGCAGAUCCACCCGUCCCCCCCGAAGCACAACUACUCUGCACUGAGAGACCAUGAAGCCACCUGUCCCCGGGGAGUGACUUUGUCUGGCUCUGUUCUCAAUGUGAUGGUCUGCGUGGAGGGGAACCGGUCGUCAGAGUAACUGGGGUGCCGGGUGCACGGCCAGGAAGGCUCCCUCCAGCAGUGUUUGCGUCCCUGGCCUUCAGCUACGGGCUGUCGCCAGCAGGCACCGUGAUCGGCUGCCGGUAACACGCCUCAGUGACCACUCGGGGACCAGCCCCUGUGCUGGCCUUGCGGCCCCCCACACAGCAGCGUCUCCACCCAUGGUCCCGGCUGGAGAGAGGUCGCUCACGUCCACCCGCUGCCCCGGCCCCGAGGGGCAGGGGUUGCAGCUGCUGCUGUCUCAGGCCAGUCAGACCACGUGGGUGAGCCCGGCUGGGCCUCUGUGGGGUCCACCGAGCAGUCAGUGUGCAGAAUCACACGCUAAACUGUGAUUAUUUUAAGCCAGCAAACUCGGGAGCAAUUUGUCACUUAGCAGAAGAGAACCGAUAGGCCCUGAGAUCCUCAGCGAAGCGCAACAGCCAUGCUGGCAACGCCGCAUGCUUGGCUCUGGGCCACAUCUGGCUCCCGGUGACACACCUGUCCCCAUAGGGCGUUCCAGCUGGCCGUGGCGGCCGGCCCGCGACACUGCGCGGCAGGGGAGCAGCACCUGCGAGGUUUGUCCCAGUCUCAUCCCAAGGCCCACCCAGGGCGCUGGCCCCUCUCUGCCUGGCCAACCCCGAUCUUAGCUACACGGCAAGACCGGGCUCCCUUCCCGUCUCUCACACGGACCUUCCUCCAAGUACUCCAACUCCAGCUGACGCCCCCAGGAAGCCCCACAUCUACCCAUCCCCAACUCGGACGGGCGCAAGCGCCUCCUGUCCUUCCAAGGCAACUUGCUCUCUCGUUUCCGAGGAUUUCAUGUUGCCUGAGGCUCUUACAGGGGUGGGCACAGCACUCACCCCGUGUCUUCCAGAUGGAGCCGGGCCACGGCCCACGCCGCCACGCAGACGGUGGGGAUGCCUGCGGAGAGACGCCUGGUCACGCACAGCCCCGCGCAGCUUCACUGGGCAGAAUCGCCAAGGACAAGCUUUCCGAGUAAGACACCAAGAGCAAACUCUCGUGAAAGUCUCCACAAACAGGAGUCACACCCGUGCCCUACUGAACAGCGAAGAUCAUUAACCUGUUUGAAAGCCGAGCAUCUGAUCAGGAGCCAAAACUGGCCCUUCCGUGUAGACAGUGUCACCGCGGAGACCGCGUGUGGCGGGGGCAGGGCGAGGCGGGCACCUGCUCUCCGACCCGCCAUCCUGCGAGCUGAGCCGGGGUGGACGGCGGAGGAACAGACGGUUUUGCUACCUUAGCAGCAGCCCAGUUUGGAUUUGGGGUAAAAGGGGCCAGGAAAGGGAACGUAAAGCAUUUUAAAUGAGGUUCCUGGUUGCCAGAAAUACUGAGGUGUUGUCUGUGGGAACCUCCAGUCACCCCAGAGCUCUUCCCACGGUGACUCUGAGACGCAGCGGUUUCCCGUGUGUGUGUCGGCCGCCAGGCCGGGCGGGGGGCCCUGCAGGGCUGUGGGGGGGCGGCACGGAGCACGCGCGGGCGGGCUGCGCUUACCCCAUCCGAGGAGGAGGUAGGCCAGGAAGCAUCUGCCGGGGGAGAACAUGGCCACCAGCAGCGUGUGCAGGUACAGCCCCUCCGCCAGCAGCCAGUAGAAGUUGGCCAUGGUGCAGUACUGGAAGAAGACGAGGCUCAGUUUGCAGCCGACCUGGGCACCAGGAGGGAGAAGCCGCCGCAUUAGGGCAGAAACAGCCUGGGCCGGUGUUUGCGCAGGGAAGGAAGGACAGGCCAGGUGCCCCUCGGCAGGGACCUGGUUAGCGUGGGGAGGGGGCACUGGCCGGGGAGGGGGUGUUGGAGCGCGGCCCUGUGUGUCCGGGCACCAGGGGACUGAACUCCCAGAGGACACGCACGGCAGAGAGGCCACUGCACAGCCUCCCCAGAAGGGAGGCCGCGAGGCGGUGGGAGCAGGACAGGCCCAGACCUUGGCCCGGAGCCCCCGCCCGCCUGUCCUCCCUCGCUCUUCCCUCAGGCACCCCUGGGACCCUCCCCCGCCAGGCCACAGCAGCAGGGCAGGAGGCGGGUUCUGCCGCCCCGCACACGGCUGGGCUGCCAGCACCUCUCCACACCUGCGGCUGACGCCAGGGCUGCGCCGGGAAGGACGGGCCAUGUCCCCGUGGACACCAGCCAGGCUCCCGAUGAGCGGCUGGGCGAAAUAUGCUUCGGGAGAGAAAACAAUGGACCAAAACGAGGCUCCUGGACUCUGACAUUUUUGACAAAAAGUUCCCGGAUUGUAAAAAAGUGGUUUUUAAUUUUGGGAAGCUUAAUUAAAGAUGAAAAAAAUAAGAGUUUGGAAAAACAAGAGAAAUCUGGCAAAUAUAUCUAUUUUCCCUGGGAG